AACGAACGCUGGCGGCAUGCCUAACACAUGCAAGUCGAACGAGACCUUCGGGUCUAGUGGCGCACGGGUGCGUAACGCGGCGGAACCUGCCCUUAGGUUCGGAAUAACUCCCCGUAAGGGGUGCUAAUACCGGAUAAUGUCCGCGGACAAAAGAUUUAUCGUCUUUGGAUGGGCCGGCGUUGGUUUAGCUAGUUGGUAGGGGAAAAGCCUACCAAGGCGUAGAUACAUAGCUGGUCUGAGAGGAUGAUAAGCCACACUGGGACUGAGACACGGCCCAGACUCCUACGGGAGGCAGCAGUGGGUGAUAUUGGACAAUGGGGUAAAGCCUGAACCACCAAUGGCGCGUGAGUGAUGAAGGCCUUAAGGUUAUAAAGCUCUUUUACCCGGGAUGAUAAUGACAGUACCGGGAGAAUAAGCUCCGGCUAACUCCGUG
rnacentral:rRNA from 1 species